rnacentral:lncRNA from 1 species
CUCAAAUGGGUCUAGACCUAUUCCCUACACUUCUAGCUUCAUUUAGUUUCUUGUAUCAUUGAUUUUAGUGAACAAUCGAGCUUGAUAUAAACUCUGGAAGUUAGACCAAAAACCUGGAAAGACGUAGGCCUUCUCGAGGAAGGCGAGUGCAUUGGUACUCGCAUAUGCGUGGACGCAUGAGGGUGGUGACGCGUGCAGCACAUGGCAGCGCGUGGAGGAACCCAAGGUCCCUCAUUAGGUUUCUCGAUGUGCCGAACCCGAAUCCGCCCUUUGUUUUCUAAAAUUUGAUCUUUUUAAAAUAGUUCUUUUAUUAGCCGUACUUUGUACGAAAAACGCGUUUAUAUGUUAGUACGUUAUAUAUUUACAUAAAUGGUUUCAUUUCUAGGUGAAACGCAUCGCAAGGACUCUCAAUGCUACGAGGUGGGUUCGACUCGAUUACAUAUUUUUUUAGUGGAUCUUUUCUUUGAUAUAUACGUGUAUAUAUGUAUAUGUUUAGUUUCCAUAUAUACAUCUAAUAACAAAUUUUCUAUAGGAUUGCCAUAACUAAAUUAACAUUUAUAAGAAAUGACGUAACGAUGAGAAUUAGGAGACCAUUAUAAAUCCUACGGAAGGCAUUCUAGUCAACCUUGGGUACGUGUCUACCCUACUACACUUCGUAUUAUUGUUCAAACAGACAAAUCGUCUAAAAGAAUUGCCCGGAUAUUGAAAUCUAGUUGUGAUCAUUAAUUCUUCAAUCACCCAACAAAUACUCUGCUAAGCGAAUCAUUACUGUUGGUGAUUGAAUAUUUCAGAAGCUACCGUUGUAGCGAGAUGUUAUGCAUUAAUCUAGUUACUUUGUAUUCUAGAUUGAUGGACUUGUUUUGACUCUCAAAUUCUUGAUUGUUCUUAUAGCCUUCUCAACACAGUUUUUCACUAUAAAUUCGAGAGACAUUUUCAUAAUGAAUCUACUUGCUGAGACAUAUGUGAAGUAUAAUGUUUGGAUGCCUAGUGUGCAUGUCACUCUUGUACCUCAUCAUGAUGCACGUAUCACUUCCAAGUUUUUGGGAGUCUUCAUGAAAGCCAUGGGUACAAAGUUAUUAUUUAUUACCACAUUUCACCCUCAGAUUAACUGCUAGUCCGAAUGAACUAUCCGGACCUUCGAGAACAUGUUGCAUUUAUCCAUUCUAUAGUUUUAGCAUGAUUGUAAUAGACACUUAUCUCUGUUAAGGUUGCGUGUAACUACAAUUACUAUUUCAAUUUUGGUUUGGCACCAUUCGAGAUGUUAUAUAGAGAUUUUAAGCACAAUACAUGAUUGACAUGUGAGUAUUGCGAUCAGGUAUUUGAAUGAUCAAGAUUUUGAGGUAGCAUUUUGUGUGCUAUUGACGUUACCACCCGAGAGGGUAGUACUUGAGCGCGGUCGAGGCGCUAGUCAGACGAUUUAUAUGUAUUUCCCAAUGAGGGCCAAGAUGGUAAUAUUGCACCCUUGGGAAUUAUUUGCUUGCUUAUCUUAACAACAGUGAGUUGUAGGUAUUGCGGGCUGCAGACCAUAAUAUCGAUAACUUAUUCAUUGGAUUCGUUAAGUAAGUUGACAAGUAGGUCCGUUUACGUUAGCAUUUUUAGUGAUACAUUUAUUGUUUGGGCGUAACCUAAAGAUGUUACAUUUACCUUUGGAGUACAUGAUGCAACAAGUGCGUAGGUGAAAAAUAUUCUAUGUUCAAUUUUAAUUUCAGUACAAUUAUUUAACUUUAUGUUACUAUUUAUGUAUUUUGACGGGAUGUUAUUAUACAUAUGUAAAUACUUUCAACUUUUUGUUUUUAUAAAAUAAAAAAAAUAGUAUUAUAUUCUAAUAUUGCACUAAAGAGAAGGAAGGUAUGAGUUUGGGGGCAUGAAAGAGGAAUCAUUUCACUCCGAUCGCGACGGAAUGGCAUUAUCUUUUAUGCAACCGCUCUAACUUGAUAUCUUCUUUACAUAAUUACUUUUUUGUUGUCUUUUCACUAUUUUUGUAUAACAAAUUAUUUUAAAUUUUGGAGACGAAAUUUUUUUUAAGGUGGGUAGAUUGUGACAACCCGUUCCUAAAUUCUACAAUUUUAUUAAUUUUGAAUGAGUGAAUUGACAAAAAAUGCCCCUAGAUACGAGGGAGUUGACUUUUGUUGACCAGCAUACUAUGAGAUAUAUAAAACAUUCUUUUAGCGUAUCCUCGUAAUACUUGUCACUACGAACGCGUAGGUGCAAGCAGAAUCGAAUUUGGAGUUACGAAGGAGAUUUUACGGACUUACAAAGUCGAAGGGCAUUUUGGUAAAUCUAUAAUUCCAGAUAAAUACCCUUUAUUAUUUUAAUAAUUUUUAUAGGAUUUUUCUGCAUGGUGGGACCCACCCACAUAGGUCUCCUAUCCCCCUUGUCUGCAUGUCAUUCCUUCCCACUUUCCCGGUUACAUUUCCUAUUUUUUUUUUUUAACUCUUUCACUCUUUCUCACUGAAACUCUCUCUCUUCCCCUCAUUUUCAUCUUCACUGAAGCACAGUGGCAAAAAUGGAUAGUGACCAUACCACACCAUCCCUCCCCUCACCCACGUGUAUCCUCUCUCUGUCUCAGUCUCUUCUUUUCUUUCCAACUCUCUCAAACCUCUAUCUCUCUAAAACUCUCUCCUCUCAAACUCUCUAUGCACUCAACAUGCACAUUAGCACUAAGACCACCCCCACUUGACUACU